GACCCUGAUUUAGGCAGGAUUGAGGCCAGGUCUACACUAGGAAGUUAGCUUGGUAUAACUGUCACACGGGGGUGAAAAAUCCACACCCCUGAGUGAUGCAGUUAAAGCAACCUAACCGCAGUGUAG